CCUACGGGUGGCUGCAGUGAGGAAUAUUGGUCAAUGGCCGCAGGGCUGAACCAGCCAAGUCGCGUGAGGGAUGACGGUCCUAUGGAUUGUAAACCUCUUUUGUCAGGGAGCAAAGGGCGCCACGUGUGGCGUUUUGCGAGUACCUGAAGAAAAAGCAUCGGCUAACUCCGUGCCAGCAGCCGCGGUAAUACGUAGGUGGCAAGCGUUGUCCGGAUUUACUGGGUGUAAAGGGCGUGCAGCCGGAGAGACAAGUCAGAUGUGAAAUCCACGGGCUCAACCCGUGAACUGCAUUUGAAACUGUUUCCCUUGAGUGUCGGAGAGGUAAUCGGAAUUCCUUGUGUAGCGGUGAAAUGCGUAGAUAUAAGGAAGAACACCAGUGGCGAAGGCGGAUUACUGGACGAUAACUGACGGUGAGGCGCGAAAGCGUGGGGAGCAAACAGGAUUAGAUACCCCUGUAGUC
rnacentral:rRNA from 1 species